GGGGGUAUAGCUCAGUGGCAGAGCAUUUGACUGCCGAUCAAGAGGUCCCCGGUA
rnacentral:tRNA from 1 species